rnacentral:rRNA from 1 species
AGGGUCAAGAUACUAAGGGCCCACGGUGGAUGCCUCGGCACCCGAGCCGAUGAAGGACGUGGCUACCUGCGAUAAGCCAGGAGGAGCCGGUAGCAGGCUUUGAUCCCUGGAUCUCCCAAUGGGGUAACCCGGCCGGCGUAAACGCCGGUCACCGCCACAAAGGCGGAGGGAACCUGGGGAACUGAAACAUCUCAGUACCCAGAGGAAAAGAAAGCGAAAGCGACUCCCUCAGUAGCGGCGAGCGAAAGGGGACCAGCCUAAACCGCCCGGCUCGCCCGGGCGGGGUCGUGGGGCCCUCAAACACCAAAUCCUAAGCCUAGCCGAAGCUGCUGGAAAACAGCGCCAAAGAGGGUGAAAGCCCCGUAGGCAAAAGGCUAAAGGAUAGGUGAGGGUACCCGAGUACCCCGUGGUCCGUGGAACCAUGGGGGAAUCCGGGCGGACCACCGCCUAAGGCUAAGUACUCCGGGUGACCGAUAGCGCACCAGUACCGUGAGGGAAAGGUGAAAAGAACCCCGGGAGGGGAGUGAAAUAGAACCUGAAACCGUGGGCUUACAAGCAGUCACGGCCCCACCAGGGGUUGUGGCGUGCCUAUUGAAGCAUGAGCCGGCGACUCACGGCCAUGGGCAAGCUUAAGCCGACCAGGCGAAGGCGUAGGGAAACCAAGUCCGAACAGGGCGCCCAGUCCGUGGCCGUGGACCCGAAACCGGGUGAGCUAGCCCUGGCCAGGGUGAAGCUGGAGUAACAUCCAGUGGAGGCCCGAACCGGUGGGGGAUGAAAACCCCUCGGAUGAGCUGGGGCUAGGAGUGAAAAGCUAACCGAACCCGGAGAUAGCUGGUUCUCCCCGAAAUGACUUUAGGGUCAGCCUCGGGCACUGACUGGGGCCCGUAGAGCACUGAUAGGGCUAGGGGGCCCACCAGCCUACCAAACCCUGUCAAACUCCGAAGAGCCCCAGGCGCAGCCCGGGAGUGAGGGCGCGAGCGAUAACGUCCGCGUCCAAGCGCGGGAACAACCGAGACCGCCAGCUAAGGUCCCUAAGUCUGGGCUAAGUGGUAAAGGAUGUGGCGCCGCAAAGACAGCCAGGAGGUUGGCUUAGAAGCAGCCACCCUUUAAAGAGUGCGUAAUAGCUCACUGGUCGAGUGGCGCCGCGCCGAAAAUGAUCGGGGCUUAAGCCCAGCACCGAAGCUGCGGGCCUGGGAAUCAAACCCCAGGCGGUAGGGGAGCGUUCCCUAUGCCGACGAAGGCCGACCCGCGAGGGCGGCUGGAGGUAUGGGAAGUGCGAAUGCCGGCAUGAGUAACGAUAAACAGGGUGAGAAUCCCUGUCGCCGUAAGCCCAAGGGUUCCUACGCAAUGGUCGUCAGCGUAGGGUU